CCCUUAGAUGUUCUGGGCCGCACGCGCGCUACACUGAUGCAUUCAACGAGUUUCUUCCUGGUCCGAGAGGAAUGGGUAACCUUUUGAAAGUGCCUCGUGAUAGGGAUAGACUAUUGCAAUUAUUGGUCUUCAACGAGGAAUUCCUAGUAGACGUAGUUCAUCAGACUGCAUCGAUUACGUCCCUGCCCUUUGUACACACCGCCCGUCGCUCCUACCGAUUGAAUGCUCAGGUGAGCCAUUCGGACUUUCAUCAUGCUGGUUUCCAGUUUUGAUGAAGGAAAGUCUUGCGAACCUUAUCAUUUAGAGGAAGGAGAAGUCGUAACA
rnacentral:rRNA from 1 species